rnacentral:rRNA from 1 species
ACGCUACAAUGGCAGAGUACCGAAUAAGGGUUGCGAAACCGCGAGGUGGAGCCAAUCCUCAAAGUCUCGUACUCAGUUCAGAUUGUAGGCUGCAACUCGCCUGCAUGAAGUUGGAGUUGCUAGUAAACGCAGGUCAGCUAUACUGCGUUGAAUACGUUCCCGGGGUUU